GGUAUAUUAAAAUUACACUUUGAAAAAUUAAUUUAAAUUCUCUCAUAUUCAGCAAAGAAUUUGGAAUGAUAUAAUGUAGAAAAAUAUCACCACCAAAGAGGCAGUUGCAUGGGAAGUAGAGUUUGGGAGGAUUUGUGCCUAUGUUUAGAAUUGGCAAAUCACGUGUGGGACUUCAUUGCAGUUUGAAAAGGCCUAAAAUCUAGAAGCAGGCUCUCAGGAAGGAAUAUAGCAUGGUGAUUUGGAGCCAGGACUUUAAACUGGAUCUGGAUUCACAGCCUGGCAGGACCUCUCCAGCUGUGUGAUCUUUGGCAACUUAUGUAGCUUCUUUGAGCCUCAGGUUUCUCACUUGUGAUACUGAGAUUGUGUAGCACAUAGUGUUAUUGUGAAGAUGAAAUGAGAUCAUGCUCGUAAAGACCUUAGCCUGGCACGAGGCAUAGAGUAGACACUCGAAAAGUGGGAGCUAUAAUAAUAAUUAUUAUUUUCUUAGGUCCAACCCAGUCUCCUGUUAUGUGUGGAGUGGCACUCAGUGAAUGUCAGUGGGAGAGGCUGGGCUGCUUGUCCAAACAAGCCCGGGAGGAAGGCAGGACCAGAAGGGGGGGGGUCAUCAAUGGAUUAGUCCUGAGCUAACAUCUGCUGCCAAUCCUCCACUUUUUGCUGCUGGGGAAGACUGGCCCUGAGCUAACAUCUGUGCCCAUCUUCCUCUAUUUUAUAUGUGGGACGGCUGCCACAGCAUGGCUUGACAAGCGGUGUGUAGGUCCACACCCGGGAUCUGGACCAGCGAACCCUGGGCCACUGAAGCAGAACGUGCAAACUUAACUGCUUAGCCACUGGGCCGGCCCCUCCGACUCCAUUUUUUGAUGUUUGACUGCUGACUGCUUUGAAGCCUCAUGGUGCCCUCUUUCCUUUCUGCCCGACAUCUUGGCAAGCUGAUAAGAAAGCCUGGGUGCUCCCUCCUUUGGCACGGGUGGGAAGUCCAAACUGUGCAAGCCCCUGCCACAUGUGUGGGAACCCUUGCCCCAGCCCCACCUCCUAACCACCACAAUACCCUCAAGCCAGUAUCCUUUCUCUCCUCUCUCCAGCCAUUUUUAGACCAGUGUGUGAGUCCGCCCUGCUCCCCGCAGAAAGACUUGUGAUGGAAGUAAUAAACCUUCACUAAUCAGGGACUGUGUUAGAUGUUACAUGUACAUUAGCUCAUUUUGUUCUCACACUUACCCUGGAAGGUUGAUAUUUUAUUCAAUUUUUAUUCGGAUAAGGAAAGUGAAGUUACAGGGGUUAAAGAAAUAAUCGCCAAGAUAAUUGUGAGAAUUGAGCUAGGAUUUGAAUCCAGUAUAAAUUCUAAACACAGUGUCUCGCAAUAAUUUUUCAAAUUGUUGGUCCUCCCCAACCCCUCUGCUUCAUUUACUUUUCCCAGCCCUUGAAGUACAUCCUUAUCUUCCAGGUCCCUGAAAUAACCCAUUUCCCACCUAUUUCAAUGGCUUCUUUGGUUCCAUUGUUUGUGGCUUUUUUGAUUUUCUUUUCUUAUUCUUCAUAUACAAUUAUCCCCCAAGAUUCUGCUCUUUUCUUCACAUUUUGUAGACUCCUAGCAUUUCCACCUGUGGCAAGAUCAUCCCCUCCUGUGACUUCACCUUGUGUCUUUAUGUGACAAACUUCCCUCUGUCCUCUUUCCAAAGCUUAUGAUCCAGCCAUGCCAGCUGUCUUCUGGGCCUUUCUAACUGGAUGUUUUAUCUGAAUCAUAAAGUCGUUGUAUUCAAGUUCUAAGCAACUCUUUUCCUCACACUUUCCCCAUUCCUGUUGUAG
ensembl:lncRNA